rnacentral:tRNA from 1 species
GCCUGGGUGGCUCAGUCGGUUGAGCGUCUGACUUCAGCUCAGGUCAUGAUCUCGCAGUCUAUGAGUUCGAGCCUCGCAUUGGGCU